ACGCUCGACACCUACGGAGGCAGCAGUGGGGAAUAUUGCACAAUGGGGGAAACCCUGAUGCAGCGACGCCGCGUGGAGGAAGAAGGUCUUCGGAUUGUAAACUCCUGUUGUUGGGGAAAAAGAGGAUGGUACCCAACAAGGAAGUGACGGCUAACUACGUGCCGCAGCCGCGGUAAGUCUGAGCGGGCUGGCAAGGC
rnacentral:rRNA from 1 species